UACGAAGGACCCGAGCGUUAUCCGGAUUUAUUGGGUUUAAAGGGUGCGUAGGCGGAUUUACAAGUCAGUGGUGAAAUCUCCCAGCUUAACUGGGAAACUGCCAUUGAAACUGUUUAUCUUGAGUACAUUUGAGGCGGGCGGAAUGUGUCAUGUAGAGGUGAAAUUCUUAGAUAUGACACAGAACACCAAUUGCGAAGGCAGCUCGCUAAACUGUAACUGACGCUGGGGCACGAAAGCGUGGGGAUCAAACAGG
rnacentral:rRNA from 1 species